rnacentral:rRNA from 1 species
CCUACGGGAGGCAGCAGUAGGGAAUAUUGCUCAAUGGGGGAAACCCUGAAGCAGCAACGCCGCGUGGAGGAUGAAGGUUUUCGGAUUGUAAACUCCUUUUGUUAGAGAAGAUAAUGACGGUAUCUAACGAAUAAGCACCGGCUAACUCCGUGCCAGCAGCCGUGGUAAUACGGAGGGUGCAAGCGUUACUCGGAAUCACUGGGCGUAAAGAGCGCGUAGGCGGGAUAGCAAGUCAGAUGUGAAAUCCUAGGGCUUAACCAUAGAACUGCAUUUGAAACUGUUAUUCUAGAGUAUGGGAGAGGUAGGUGGAAUUCUUGGUGUAGGGGUAAAAUCCGUAGAGAUCAAGAGGAAUACUCAUUGCGAAGGCGACCUGCUAGAACAUAACUGACGCUGAUGCGCGAAAGCGUGGGGAGCAAACAGGAUUAGAUACCCUUGUAGUC